rnacentral:rRNA from 1 species
GAUGAACGCUGGCGGCGUGCCUAAUACAUGCAAGUCGAGCGAACGGACGAGAAUCUUGCUUCUCUGAUUUUAGCGGCGGACGUGUGAGUAACACGUGGAUAACCUACCUAUAAUACUGGGAUAACUUCGGGAAACCGGAGCUAAUACCGGAUAAUAUUUUGAACCGCAUGGUUCAAAAGUGAAAGACGGUCUUUCUGUCACUUAUAGAUGGAUCCGCGCUGCAUUAGCUAGUUGGUAAGGUAACGGCUUACCAAGGCAACGAUGCAUAGCCGACCUGAGAGGGUGAUCGGCAACAGUGGAACUGAGACACGGUCAAGACUCCUACGGGAGGCAGCAGUAGGGAAUGUUCCGAAAUGGGCGAAAGCCUGAAGGAGAAACGCCGCGUGAGUGAUGAAGGUCUUCGGAUCGUAAAACUCUGUUAUUAGGGAAGAACAUAUGUGUAAGUAACUGUGCACAUAUUGAGGGAACCUAAUAAGAAAGCCACGGCUAACUACGU